GAAAUGCGAUAAGUAAUGUGAAUUGCAGAAUUCAGUGAAUCAUCGAAUCUUUGAACGCACAUUGCGCCCGCCAGUAUUCUGGCGGGCAUGGCUGUCCGAGCGUCAUUUCAACCAUCAAGCCCCCGGGCUUGUGUUGGGGACCUGCGGCUGCCCGCAGGCCCUGAAAACCAGUGGCGGGCUCGCUGUCACACCGAGCGUAGUAGCAAUCACCUCGCUCAGGGCGUGCUGCGGGUUCCGGCCGUUAAACAGCCUUACAAAACCCAAGGUUGACCUCGGAUCAGGUAGGAAGACCCGCUGAACUUAAGC
rnacentral:misc_RNA from 1 species